rnacentral:pre_miRNA from 1 species
CCCUUAACUACUAAAAGUUUCAUUUUGGUCCCUUAACUUAUUUUUUGGUUUCGUUUUGGUCCCUUAACUCUUCCUCCGUCAACCACUUUGGUCCUUUAUGUUAGGAUGAAUGUAUUAGAGUUAAGGGACCAAAAUGAAACCAAAAAAUAAGUUAAGGGACCAAAACGAAACCAAAAAAUAAGUUAAGGGACCAAAACGAAACCAAAAAAAUAAGUUAAUGGACCAAAACGAAACUUUUAAUAGUUAAGGGA